UUCGCUCAACUAGCCAGCUUCUGUAGGAAAAAACCAAAAAAAAAAAAAGAAGCCAGCUUCUGAUUAUGACAAAAAAGUAAGCCACUUGGAAAGCAACCACUGAUUAGAAACACAAGGCAUUGAACAUGAAUAACAAACAGAGCUUCUUAUACGUAGUAAUGUCUUUAAUAUCUAAUUAUUCUUGCGUGGCUUUCAAAUAUUUCCAUUCAACAAGGUAGCAGGUUCUUCC
rnacentral:misc_RNA from 1 species